rnacentral:rRNA from 1 species
UACGUAGGGGGCAAGCGUUAUCCGGAUUUACUGGGUGUAAAGGGAGCGUAGGCGGUCCUGCAAGUCUGAUGUGAAAGGCCGGGGCUCAACCCCGGGACUGCAUUGGAAACUGUAGGACUAGAGUGUCGGAGGGGUAAGUGGAAUUCCUAGUGUAGCGGUGAAAUGCGUAGAUAUUAGGAGGAACACCAGUGGCGAAGGCGGCUUGCUGGACGAUGACUGACGUUGAGGCUCGAAAGCGUGGGGAGCAAACAGG